rnacentral:rRNA from 1 species
AGCAGCCGCGGUAAUUCCAGCUCCAAUAGCGUAUAUUAAAGUUGUUGCAGUUAAAAAGCUCGUAGUUGAAUUUCGGGAUUGACACAUCGGUCGUGCCUUAAGGGGUAUGAACUGGUGUAGUCAAUUUCUCACCUUCUGGAGAACCGCAAUGCCCUUAAUUGGGUGUCGCGGGGAACCAGGACCUUUACUUUGAAAAAUUAGAGUGUUUAAAGCAGGCAUUUUGCUUGAAUACAUUAGCAUGGAAUAAUAAAAUAGGACGGCAUGAUUCUAUUUUGUUGGUUUCUAGGAUCACCGUAAUGAUUAAUAGGGAUAGUUGGGGGCAUUAGUAUUCAAUUGUCAGAGGUGAAAUUCUUGGAUUUAUUGAAGACUAACUACUGCGAAAGCAUUUGCCAAGGAUGUUUUCAUUAAUCAAGAACGAAAGUUAGGGGAUCGAAGACGAUCAGAUACCGUGUAGUCUUAACCAUAAACUAUGCCGACUAGGAA